AUUGAACGCUGGCGGCAGGCCUAACACAUGCAAGUCGAACGGUAACAGGAAGCAGCUUGCUGCUUCGCUGACGAGUGGCGGACGGGUGAGUAAUGUCUGGGAAACUGCCUGAUGGAGGGGGAUAACUACUGGAAACGGUAGCUAAUACCGCAUAACGUCGCAAGACCAAAGAGGGGGACCUUAGGGCCUCUUGCCAUCGGAUGUGCCCAGAUGGGAUUAGCUAGUAGGUGGGGUAACGGCUCACCUAGGCGACGAUCCCUAGCUGGUCUGAGAGGAUGACCAGCCACACUGGAACUGAGACACGGUCCAGACUCCUACGGGAGGCAGCAGUGGGGAAUAUUGCACAAUGGGCGCAAGCCUGAUGCAGCCACGCCGCGUGUAUGAAGAAGGCCUUCGGGUUGUAAAGUACUUUCAGCGGGGAGGAAGGGAGUAAAGUUAAUACCUUUGCUCAUUGACGUUACCCGCAGAAGAAGCGCCGGCUAACUCCGUG
rnacentral:rRNA from 1 species